rnacentral:rRNA from 1 species
UACAUGGGGUGCAAACGUUGCUCGGAAUUAUUGGGCGUAAAGCGCACGUAGGCGGUUCGUUAAGUCGGAUGUGAAAGCCCUCGGCUCAACUGAGGAAGUGCACCCGAAACUGGCGAGCUUGAGUACGAAAGAGGAUCGCGGAAUUCCCGGUGUAGAGGUGAAAUUCGUAGAUAUUCGGAAGAACACCAGUGGCGAAGGCGGCUCACUGGACUGGUAUUGACGCUGAGGUGCGAAAGCGUGGGGAGCAAACAGG